rnacentral:rRNA from 1 species
UACGUAGGGUCCAAGCGUUAAUCGGAAUUACUGGGCGUAAAGCGUGAGUAGGCGGUUUCGCAAGUCCGAUGUGAAAUCCCCGGGCUUAACCUGGGAACUGCGUUGGAAACUACGAGACUAGAGUGCGGCAGAGGGGGGUGGAAUUCCAGGUGUAGCAGUGAAAUGCGUAGAGAUCUGGAGGAACACCGAUGGCGAAGGCAGCCCCCCUGGGCUAGCACUGACGCUCAUACACGAAAGCGUGGGGAGCAAACAGG